rnacentral:snRNA from 1 species
GGGUGAUCAGGCUGCAACGUCUGUCACCUCACUGAUUGCAGGGUUGAUUUGGCGGUUCUGGCUGGCUAGACAGGUGUGCCCUUCCUCAACACCCCAUGUGCAUCCCUCCCGAAGCUGCGUGCUCAGUCCAAGAGGAUGACCACCCCCGAUAGAGGAGGACCGUUCCUCGGUCAAGGGUAUACGAGUAGUUGCACUCCCCUGCUAGAACCUCCUAACAAGCUCUCGAACACUUUAGAUAAUAUAACAGCCCUAUACAAAUUCUACAACUCUAUAUAUUUGGGUAGUACGGCUUUCUUU